AGCAGUCGCCGCGGGAAUACAGAGGGUGCGAGCGUUAAUCGGAUUUACUGGGCGUAAAGCGUGCGUAGGCGGCUAAUUGAGUCGGAUGUGAAAUCCCCGAGCUUAACUUGGGAAUUGCAUUCGAUACUGGUUAGCUAGAGUGUGGGAGAGGAUGGUAGAAUUCCAGGUGUAGCGGUGAAAUGCGUAGAGAUCUGGAGGAAUACCGAUGGCGAAGACAGCCAUCUGGCCUAACACUGACGCUGAGGUACGAAAGCAUGGGGAGCAAACAGGAUUAGAUACCCGAGUAGUCCCUGUCUCUUAUAC
rnacentral:rRNA from 1 species